CCCAUUGUCAGACGUCCCAAGCGCGUUCCCGAAGUCGGAAUCGGCAAAGGUGAGCCGGGACAGCCUUCUUCCUCCGCCCAGCCGCCUCAGUGACCAUCGUCAAGUCUGUGAGUAAAAUAUUAAUUUUAAUUAUAAUUUCGAUAUUAUUAUAUGUUCAGCAUGCCCAUGCAUCACUUAUAUGCAUAUAUUUAUGUAGUUAAACUCUAGGCACGAUUUAUGUUGCAUUCAUAACUGUUGAUGUACCAUGGAUGUUGUUGUGGUAAUUUGGAGCAGUGUGCGUGCGUUGGCGUGCGUGUGAUGUGGUGUGGACUAUGGAUAGGACGGGGUAGUCACGGCUUGAGUAAUUCGCUGGGACCCGUUCCUUCGAGGGGUAGUCACGGCUUGAGUAAUUCGCUGGGACCCUCGAUUUGGUUAUUAAGUGGAAGUCCGAGCUUGAGUAAUUCGCUGGCACCAGGUUGGAUUUAAGAGAGCUGUAUAGGGGAUCAGCUCCCAUAUGUUAUGAUUGAUACUACAGGGUGUGUGAGUGCUCCAAAUUACCUUUUUGAUGUUAUGAUAUGAAAAUGUUGUGUAUGUUGCAUUUCACUCUACAGGUUGCAUUAGUUUCAGAUAGUUAUAGAGAUUAUAGUUAAGAUUGAUAUUUUACUCUCUGAGUCGAACGCUCACUCCUGUUCAAAAAUUUUUACAGGCCACAGGAAGAUAUUUUGUUCUGGGUUAACCUGCCUUUUUACCUCGCAGGUUGUUUAUCAAUAUUGUGUAAUUUUAAUUACUCCUAGAAUUUCCGCAUGUGUUAGCAGUAAUUAUUUGAAUUUGGUCUGUAAUAUUAUUAUCAUGUUGGACCUGUAAACUUAAUAUUUUUAAGUC